AUUUAAUGCAUACAUGUAAGCAACAAUAAACCAUUGCUUACGAAAAAGCAAUUCUGAGCGGAGUUCAGUUGAUAGUGAUGCUUUGUCAACAAUAUAUAUAUGACAAUUUAAAGUAAAAUAAUUAAACAGGCUUUAUAUAUUUUCUUUACUAAUAUUUGUUUAAUGUUGCACCGAUUUUUCCAUUUCCUACGUUUUUCGCGGAUUCCCCGUGUUUUACCCGGUUUUUCACAUUUACUGGGAAAAUUGUUAGAAAAAUCGAAAAAUUACCUCUUUAAAGUACCUCGCUAGUAAAAUUUCUUUUUAGAAACAUUGCUGUCAUUGAAAGUUGGAGCAAAAUUGCUAGUAGAAGAAUUGUGCACAGA